AAAUUGACCUUCCACCCGAAGGCACAUAUCGUGGGUAAUUUACCAGUGGGACAGAUCAAAGUUGAACAAAGAAGUUGUGAGUUAGCUAUUGAUGAUAGCAAGAUUCCUGGGACAUCACUACAUCGUGCAACAUGUAGCACAGGACCCUGUGUUGCAAUCUCAAAACCAAUUGAGGAAGCAAAAACGAUAUACCGCAUUCUGGCGCUAUGUAAUGUGGUGAAUUACAUUAACGGACUUUACAUGAAUAGUGCUGCUGGGACCAGUAGUAGUGUUGCUGGAGCAAUUCCGUUGAUGCCCAUUAAACUUAAUUCCAGCAUGAUAUUUUAUAAGCUUAUGGUAGAAGGGGAGGUGGAGGUUGUGGUGACUGAUUUCUGUGUAAGACAACCCCGAGACCUUGUAAAGAAAACCAGGAAGGGUCGCCCAAAAGAAGUAACAAUUGAAGAUGUCCAACAGUUUAACUGGAGGGCUGUUGGACUCUGCCUGAAAAAAAUGUAUGGACCAGAAGGAAAUGUCAAUGAGGAGUUGAAAGAUUUAGCUGCAUAUUUGGAAGGAUCAAAACCAGAAGAAGGACCAGUAACAUAUGAUGGUAUACUCUGGCAUCCAGGAGCAUGGGAAGCAAAUAUAAAAACUCAGUUCAUUAGAGAAAUUUUUUGGCUGAUUGAUAAAGAACGAGACAAGUUGAAAACAAAGAAACUAAUAGAAACAGAGAAGGGGAAAUCACUGAUCAAAAUAAAGCGUACACUUGGAAUAGCAGCAAGUUUAAAAAACUUUGCAGGCAAGGAACUUCAGGAAAAUAACUUGCUAGAUUCUUUAGAACAUUUAAGGACCUACAUUGUAGCACAUCCUGAUAUGAGUUAUAACAGCACGGAUGAACAGGAUAAACUUAAAUUUGACAAGGUCAGAUGUGAGAGACUCAUACAAAAAGUCAAAGGAGACUACAUGAUAAAAUUACGAAAAGAAAUUAGGAAUUUAGAGUGGAUAACUGAAUCUCCAGUGCUAAGAGGUCAGUGGCAUUAA
rnacentral:lncRNA from 2 species